GGAGGGGGGCCAGCGUUGUUCGGGAAUUAUUGGGGCGUAAAGGGCGCGUAGGCGGCUCAGCAAGUCGGGUGUGAAAUCCCUCGGGCUUAACCGAGGGAACUGCAUCCGAUACUGCCGAGCUUGAGUCCCGGGAGAGGAGAGUGGAAUUCCCAGUGUAGCGGUGAAAUGCGUAGAUAUUGGGAGGAACACCGGUGGCGAAGGCGGCUCUCUGGACCGGUACUGACGCUGAGGCGCGAAAGCCAGGGGAGCAAACAGGAUUAGAUACCCUGGUAGUCCUGGCUGUAAACGAUGGGCACUUGGUGUUGCGGGUAUCGACCCCUGCAGUGCCGAAGCUAACGCAUUAAGUGCCCCGCCUGGGGAGUACGGUCGCAAAGGCUG
rnacentral:rRNA from 1 species